ensembl:lncRNA
CUUAAAUGCAGCUGGUGAUUCCAGAGACCUGGCGGGCAACUCUCAACAAGAAGCACCAGCAGUGGAUUGACCUGACACUGUUUACCCAAGUUGAACUCUGAGUUGACCAAAGUCACCUUGCUAACUCCUCAAACCUGAUGGCUCCAAAAACAGAUUUUCACCAACUCAAAUUGAAUUGACAUUGUUAGGUUUCAUGAUGCUUCUAUCUAAAGUCACCAUGUCCUAGAGAGAUUUACAUGGUUAUUAAAACUUCACGAUGCUUAAAAGAUGCUUAAAAUUAUUAAAAUACACAAAAGUGAUUGUUGUUGUGUUGAAUUGUGUUUGGGAAAUAUUUCUAUCAAUACAGAAAUGUGUAGGCGGCUUAACUUACCCUGUCCCGUGGCCUGAGAUCACAUUUUUUGGACAAGCUAUGUUUUCAAAACAGUAACUUUUACAUGAAUUCUGAUUAUUUCCAGGGAUACACAUCAUCCUGAAAUAUGUGUGGAUAUCUUUGUUAGAAAGAAUACUGUAUUUUCCUUGACCCAGUGAUGCUGAAUGUAAGACAUGGCUCAACUUACCCCACUCUCCCUACCCUGUCCCUAUGCUCAAUUUACUCCAUAUCUGAUCUGGGGUAAAUUGUGCCAAGAGACCACUUUUUUUGGACAUGCUCUGUUUUCAAAACAGUUGUUGUUUAUAUGAAUUCUGAUUAUUUCCAGUGAUACACAACAUCCUGAAAUAUAUGUAAAUAUCUUUCUUAGAUAAAAUACUAUAUCUCCCUUGAUGUACUGAUGCUGAAUAUAAAAAAUGUCUCAACAUACCCUACAUACAGUAUGCGUGUGGUACAUUGAGAAAAAAGUGAUGUGACGGCCCCUCCCUGCUCUGUCUACUGGGCUUUGCUGCGCUUACUUCCUGCAGGAGAUUGGUGGGCGGAGUAGGGUCGUCAGUGCUGAUGGGGCACACCUGUGAAAGCUCAGCUGUGGCAUAAAGCAACUACUUCCCCAUUCAGCAAGAGAUUCCUUUCUCCAUGCAUAGUGUUGGUUGUUUUGUUGUGGCUUUGGCAGUUGAUGUGUGAUUUACUGACCUUCAUAUCUCAUCUGAUUAUUGUUGUCUUGCUCCCGGACAAGCUAAACACCUUCUUCGCCCGUUUUGAGGAAAACACAGUGCCACCGACGUGGGCGCCUCCCG